UUUGGCUAGAACGCAAAUGUAAGACGGUCAAGGCUGCCCAAUCCCAGGAACACUAUUCAGCACGCCAGAGAUGACAUUCAGAGACCCAAGUUCUGGAAUUCACCCGAGAGUCUCUCAAGGUUGGCAAAACGCUCCAAGAAGCCACCAUCUUCUCUCACCUCUUAGGAUUAAAAACCAGUGGUGAUCAACUAGGGAUGAUUUUGACCCCAUCUCCACCCAGGGGACGACAGGUCACUGGUGUUCACUGUCACCGUUGCCUUGAUUUCUUGCUGGGCCACCUUCAUUCGGUCAUAGAAGACCUUGAAGAAUUUCUCCGA